rnacentral:rRNA from 1 species
UAUGAAUGGCCACACGAGGGCUUUACUGUCUCCUACUUCCAAUCCGUGAAAUUGACCUUCCCGUGAAGAGGCGGGAAUAUAACAACAAGACGAGAAGACCCUAUGGAGCUUUAAUUAAUCGACCCAAAGAGAUCCCACUAACUAACCGACAGGAACAACAAACCUCUAUAUGGGCCGACAAUUUAGGUUGGGGCGACCUCGGAGAAUAAAACAACCUCCGAGUGAUUUAAAUCUAGACUAACCAGUCAAAAGUAUUACAUCACUUAUUGAUCCAAAACUUGAUCAACGGAACAAGUUACCCUAGGGAUAACAGCGCAAUCCUAUUUUAGAGUCCAUAUCGACAAUAGGGUUUACGACCUCGAUG